AGAGUUUGAUCAUGGCUCAGAACGUACGCUGGCGGCACGCCUAACACAUGCAAGUCGAACGAAGUAGCAAUACUUAGUGGCAGACGGGUGAGUAACAUGUGGGUAUCUACCCUUUGGCCUGGAAUAACACGAGGAAACUUGUGCUAAUACCGGAUAAGUCUUUACGGAGAAAGCUUUAUGCACCAUUGGAUGAGCCCGCACUUGAUUAGUUUGUUGGUAGGGUAAUGGCCUACCAAGACUAUGAUCAAUAGCUGAUUUGAGAGGAUGAUCAGCCACAUUGGGACUGAGACACGGCCCAAACUCCUACGGGAGGCAGCAGUGGGGAAUCUUGCACAAUGGAGGAAACUCUGAUGCAGCGAUGCCGCGUGAGUGAAGAAGGCCUUUGGGUUGUAAAGCUCUUUCGUCGGGGAAGAAAAUGACUGUACCCGAAUAAGAAGGUCCGGCUAACUUCGUGCCAGCAGCCGCGGUAAUACGAAGGGACCUAGCGUAGUUCGGAAUUACUGGGCUUAAAGAGUUCGUAGGUGGUUGAAAAAGUUGGUGGUGAAAUCCCAGAGCUUAACUCUGGAACUGCCAUCAAAACUUUUCAGCUAGAGUAUGAUAGAGGAAAGCAGAAUUUCUAGUGUAGAGGUGAAAUUCGUAGAUAUUAGAAAGAAUACCAAUUGCGAAGGCAGCUUUCUGGAUCAUUACUGACACUGAGGAACGAAAGCAUGGGUAGCGAAGAGGAUUAGAUACCCUCGUAGUCCAUGCCGUAAACGAUGUGUGUUAGACGUUGGAAAUUUAUUUUCAGUGUCGCAGGGAAACCGAUAAACACACCGCCUGGGGAGUACGACCGCAAGGUUAAAACUCAAAUGAAUUGACGGGGACCCGCACAAGUAGUGGAG
rnacentral:rRNA from 1 species